CCUACGGGGUGCAGCAGUGGGGAAUAUUGGGCAAUGGACGCAAGUCUGACCCAGCAACGCCGCGUGAAGGAAGAAGGCUUUCGGGUUGUAAACUUCUUUUAAGGGGGAAGAGCAGAAGACGGUACCCCUUGAAUAAGCCACGGCUAACUACGUGCCAGCAGCCGCGGUAAUACGUAGGUGGCAAGCGUUGUCCGGAUUUACUGGGUGUAAAGGGCGUGCAGCCGGGAAGACAAGUCAGAUGUGAAAUCCCGCGGCUCAACCGCGGAACUGCAUUUGAAACUGUUUUUCUUGAGUAUCGGAGAGGUAAUCGGAAUUCCUAGUGUAGCGGUGAAAUGCGUAGAUAUUCGGAGGAACACCGGUGGCGAAGGCGGCCAACUGGGCUUUAACUGACGCUGAGGCUCGAAAGUGUGGGGAGCAAACAGGAUUAGAUACCCUAGUAGUC
rnacentral:rRNA from 1 species